UACAGAGGUCCCAAGCGUUGUUCGGAUUCAUUGGGCGUAAAGGGUGCGUAGGCGGCGCGGUAAGUCGGGUGUGAAAUCUCGGGGCUUAACUCCGAAACUGCAUUCGAUACUGCCGUGCUUGAGGACUGGAGAGGAGACUGGAAUUUACGGUGUAGCGGUGAAAUGCGUAGAUAUCGGGAAGAACACCGGUGGCGAAGGCGGCUCACUGGCUCAUUACUGACGCUCAGGCGCGAUAGCGUGGGGAUCAAACAGG
rnacentral:rRNA from 1 species